rnacentral:tRNA from 1 species
GGAAGCGCCUGUGACCGGGUGGUUGCCACAGUCUUCAAAACUGCUGUGCGUCGUUAGAGCGACGCAGGUGGGUUCGACUCCCAUGCGCUUCCG